rnacentral:rRNA from 1 species
GAUGAACGCUGGCGGCGUGCCUAAUACAUGCAAGUCGAGCGAACGGACGAGAAGCUUGCUUUUCUGAUGUUAGCGGCGGACGGGUGAGUAACACGUGGAUAACCUACCUAUAAGACUGGGAUAACUUCGGGAAACCGGCGCUAAUACCGGAUAAUAUUUUGAACCGCAUGGUUCAAAAGUGAAAGACGGUCUUGCUGUCACUUAUAGAUGGAUCCGCGCUGCAUUAGAUAGUUGGUAAGGUAACGGCUUACCAAGGCAACGAUGCAUAGCCGACCUGAGGGGGUGAUCGGCCACACGGGAACUGGGACACGGUCCAGACUCCUACGGGAGGCAGCAGUAGGGAAUCUUCCGCAAUGGGCGAAAGCCUGACGGAGCAACGCCGCGUGAGUGAUGAAGGUCUUCGGAUCGUAAAACUCUGUUAUUAGGGAAGAACAUAUGUGUAAGUAACUGUGCACAUCUUGACGGUAACUAAUCAGAAAGCCACGGCUAACUACGUG